rnacentral:rRNA from 1 species
UACGUAGGGGGGCGAGCGUUAUCCGGAAUUAUUGGGCGUAAAGAGUGCGUAGGUGGUUACCUAAGCAGGGGGUUUAAGGCUAUGGCUUAACCAUAGUUCGCCCCCUGAACUGGGCUACUUGAGUGCAGGAGAGGAAAGCGGAAUUCCUAGUGUAGCGGUGAAAUGCGUAGAUAUUAGGAGGAACACCAGUGGCGAAGGCGGCUUUCUGGACUGUAACUGACACUGAGGCGCGAAAGCGUGGGGAGCAAACAGG